ACUUUCUAGGUUGAAAUAUAGAGAAAAAAGUUGGUGGUGGCACUGGCCUAUUGUGGAUCAGUAGGGUCUAGGAUUAAUUUCUUGAAGUAUUACCCCCACGGCCCCACCCACCCUCUCCAACCUUAAAAAAAAAAAAAAAAAACUCAAAAUGCAGUUUCUCGUGGAAACUUGCUCCUGCUCGGCGUGCUUAUCUUGAAAGGCUGGCUUAGAUGCAGGCAACCAAUAUUUGCAUCCAUGCAGGGGAUUUUAAUCCUCAGUUUGCCAUUUUGAAGCAACAAGUGUCGGAUGUACCUUAUCUGAAUGUACACGAUCUUUGAGGAAUGGCUAUGAUGACUGCCUGGAUGCACCAGAACUGAAGAAUUUGACUGAAACGUAGCUUGGCAAACUUUGGAAGGCUUGCAAUUCUGUGAGCAACCAUUAUGCAGCUGCUUGUGUAGUUCUGUGAAGAUUCUGGUGAAAAGGCCAGAUCUGAGCCACCUCCCUUCUCAACAUCAUCAUCCCUAAACUAUGAAAAGAUUGCUUGCACUUUAUCUUCUGUCACAAUUAUCUAACUGCUCGAGAAAGAUGGACUGUAGACAACCAUCCGCUUGUAGACAUCUUUGACUCUAUGGUAAACAAAUGCGACAUGUUUGUUGGGUAAAUGAAAGAAAUAUGUUGAACAAGAUUGCCAUGUGUCGAAGGAGACUCUUAUUUGCACUUUUGCUGUGCGUCAGAAAUGAUCUGUGGUGCUGUUUGAAGGUGCAUUCUUAUGUCUUUCCAUGUGGUGGGUGUGAUGAUUACCAAGUAUGGAAGAACCACAACCCUUCAACAUUAGACUACUUUGAUCUGCACAGCUUGGCAACUCUCGUACGGCUUGUUCAGCAAGCAUCCAUUUGCGUUUGUAUGUGUAGUUCGCAAAUGCUCAUAAAAAUGGGGUAAAAACGUACAGAACUUAUCUGAACUAUGGACUAUUUUGAGAAACACAGAUUGUAGACAACUAUCUACUCGUAGACACCUUAGACUCUAUGGUUAACAAUUGCGACAUCUUUGUUGGGUAAAUAAAAGAAAUGUGUUGAAUAAGAUGGUCGUGUGUCGCAAGAGGCUCUAAAUUUGUACUUUUGUUCCGCACCAGAAAUGGGUUGGGCUGCUGUUGAAAGAUGCAUUGUUAAUCUACGUGGUGGCUGUGAUGAUUGUCAUGUAUGGAUGCACCAAAUCACUACAAUAUUUGACUGAACUUUGAUCUGCACAGCUCGGCAACCUUUUAAAGGCUUGUUCUGCGAGCACCCAUUUUGCUUUAUAUGUGUAGGUUUGCAAAUGAUCAUAAAAAUUGCAGAUCUGAGCCAGUGUCUAAAUAUCUCCUUUUCGUUGUUUAGACCUAACAAUUUUUUUUUACCCCUAGCCUGUUCUUGUUUAAAGAAUUUAUGUUUGCUAAAUCACCUCUUGCAGCAAGCGGGUUAGGUGAUAUGAGGAAAAUUGUUCCUUUAUGUCAAUAUAUGUUUUUGAAGUUUAGUGGUGAUAAUUACACCACAGUUCGAGGGGUUUGGCAUUUUUUUGUCUUUAAAUAUGGCCUGCAGGAAGUGUAGUUUUUAACAGAGCAGUAGACCUGCCCGGCAGCAACAUUGGAUGGCCUGCUUAUAUGCUGGCAACCAAUUUUUGCUGCUGUGAGCUGGAGUUUAUACCCAGGUUCGUAUUAUUAGUGUUGAGCAUUGCGUUGUAACUUUUGUAGUCGUACCGAGCCGAAGAAUUGCUCUUUUGCAUUCCUCCUCGGUGAGUAAUUGAAAUCUCCACUAAAUGUGAACUUCAAAUCUCACUUCUUUUAAGUUUAUCCUCAAAGCGGUUUUCUGUAAAAAUAAACUGAACAUGGGACUUUGGCAAUGUUGGGGGAUCUCAUGGGAGUGACAUGGUCAAAUACGGUGGGAUUUUUGACGAAACCAUACCCGUAUCCAUGUUUUUUUCAUUUUUUGGUAUGCUAAUUCGGAUACGAUGGUGUCGGAUUCGAUUGGAUUUUAUCCUAACCACUUUCACCUCUACUUGUGGUACAUUUAUUCGGAGCCAAAAUACUCUGAACCCUCCAAUGAGGGAUGGAUGGACAGGUGGAUGGACGGGUACAUCGCUAAAGCGAUACGAAAGAGAGAAACCAGCAUUGGGAACAAGCGGAAAUGCAGGGGUGCUCCUUUCUUCCUGAUGGGUUGUUUCAAACAUUCAUUAUCAACCCCCUGAAACCCUUCCUCGUGCUGGUAGAUGAUGACUGGAUAGAAGUUUGGGGGGUCUAUUUCGAAAAUGGUCUAUAGUUGAGGGGAUCUUCAUCCUAUUUAACCUCUCAAUAUAUCUGAUGGUGAAAAGGUAUUGAUAGUCCCUGUCGUAUCCCGAUGCUAUUCCAAUAUUGUGACUUAGUCCUUGAACCUUUUCCAUAGCACUCCUCUCUCUCAUCUUUCUUAUAUUCUUGGAAUUUCAUCCCUCCCAUCUCUUUGGUUCAUACGUUGCAGGGAAAAUCUCUCAUUAGAACUCUGCAUUGUAAUUUAAUUACUAGCGAGGAUUGGCAGGCGCGUGAUCAGUAAUUGGAGGCAGCUCUGGAUGGUCUGCCCUUCUGCAGGCAACCUAGCUUGCAGCCAUUUAUCCGGUCAUGGCUGGGGUGGAGGAGGUGGUGGUAGUGAUAAGGAUUGGAUGUAUGUGGGUUCAUAUGAUCCUCUUCUCUGAUUAGGGUAUCAUCAUCGUUAUCUUCUUGGCACUCGCUUAUUCUCUUGAUCCAAGUUCCUGUAAAGGAUGUCCUUCAUCAUUUACUUCUAUUUCGCAAUUCCUGUUCCUUGAUGUGUUUCGGCAUUUGUGGAAGUUUCUGUUGAUCAUCUUCAAGAUAUGCGGAAUAACCACUUUUGUGUGGAGUAAAGCUUCUCUCUGCGGCCUUCUGAGAUGGAUACCCAUGAAAUUUUGUGCCUCAGGGUUGAUGAAUGGCUAAAAAUCAAGCUUUUUGAUUUUGAUUGUGCAUUCUUCAUAUGGGUUUACAUCAAGUUGGUCGGUUAGCUCGGUCCAUUGACACCUCUAAUCUGAGCCAUGCUUCAUUAAUUCCUCUAAUCUGAGCCAUGCUUCAUUAAUUCGUGGGAUGGAUGACAUUGCAGCUGGUGGUGCAUGUCUGAUCUUGUGCACCGGGUGCAGGUGUAAUGCCCCGGACUCGUCGCAACCCGCCAAUGACGAGAGCUUGCUGAGGCGUCGACGGCGACAGGGAUGAUGGUGGUUUCCGGCAGCAAUUCCGAGAUAAUUAAUGCAGGGAAAAAGGGGUAAGAGAAGAGAGAUAGAGAUAGAGUUAGAGAUACACAGAGAGAUGAGGAUGGGAAUUAGAAGUAGAUAAGAGAAGAGGAGAAUUGGGGGUAGUAGAGAAGAAGAGGAAGUUUGGGGAGAAGAAAAUAUCAAUUCAUUUCAUUCAUAAUCUGUUUACCGCGCUAAUUUGGUAUAUAUACUAUCUACUAACUCAUAUUGGAAUGUAAAAACAACUAUGUUAAGAGGGCUAUAGUGCAAAAGUGGUAAAUAGAGGUAUGGUCGGUGGGCUGCAAUUCAGCGGGCAAUUGGGCCUCAAUUGGGGUUGUUUGGUCCAAACUGCCUGGUAGUCGGGCAAACAGGUCGCAAUUCGCCCCUUCUCCGCACUAUCCAUCGCCCGGCGGAUCUUGGGUCCGCCUUUUCCCCCGAUCCGGGAUUUGGGGCCGCCCAAUCCACUCGUAAACGGACAACCGGGUCUCAGUUUGCCUUCUCCGCACUACCCACCGCCCCCUCAGCUCCGACGAUGCCCUAGCCCCGUCGCCCUGCCGGAGUUCCACCCGCACAGCCUCUCGCUGGAUCGCACCGCCGAGCUCGCUCCUCUCUACCCUGCUGUUGCCCUUAUUCCUCGCAUAACUAGUAAAGCUACCACUUUUACUACUCCUUUUAACUACUCUACUCCUUUAUUCUUCAGGUUGUUACGGCAGGCCGUAAUUUCUCCUAUCUUCUGCGUUUUGGGGUUUGAAUGCUCAAUUGGAAGGUCUGCAUUCUUGCAGGCAACCUGACAAACUCAUUUGUCUUUAAGGGAGAAGCUAGAUCAUCAAUUCCUAUUCCCUCUACUUUUCGGUGGCUUUGGCCUAUUUCAAGAUGGUCUGUAGUUGAGGGGUCUUCAUACAUGUAUCUCACACGCACUGUGGAAAUGUUUAAUUCAGGUAGCAGCAUGCAGUGCGAGGGUACAACCCAAAGCUUAACAAGAACAGAAAACAGAUGCAACGGCAAUUAAGCACUCAAUUUUACUGAUGGUUGCUAAGCGGCUAAAACAUCAAUGUCAUCUGUUACACUACAUAUAAUGAAAACAUGGAGUUUGUGGGGCAUUCAGGGUGAGGGUUGAUUUAA